AUGAUAAAAAAUAGUAUUGAAAAUGGUAAAGUGAAAGUUUUGUGUGUUGAUUAUGGGUUUGUCAUAGCAUUGAAACUGAUCAAAGAUCAGCUCAUGCUCGAAACGCAUCCAGAGAAAGGCCAGCGUCAUGAUGAAGCUUGGCCUGGGAUGAAUUUGCCUCAAUAUGCUCUUGCACACUACGACAAACUUGUACCCCGUUACGUAGUAUGUGUCCCUGUAGAGGAGCCAACACAUAUAUACUUCUAUGCCACAACUUCUAUUCAUGCAUAUACAUGUACUGCUGUGCUGGUAAAUUCCUAUUUUGUGCGUUAUAAACAUAAUGCAUGUAAAAACAAUCUUGACUUAUCAGGCCUAUUAAACAGGACGGAGGAAACUGAUUCAAACCUGAAUUGA
rnacentral:rRNA from 1 species